ACCAAAGGAAACAACCUCCACGCCAAGAAGAAAGUAUUUCACAAAAGAAAACACUGCAUUUGUGAGCAGUAUAGGAUCCAUCAUACAACCAGCAGAUCACCAUCGGCAAUAAAUCAGCCAGAAAGACAGGCAGCGGAUGGAACCAGGCGCAGGAAGAAACAAAAUGGACAGAGCCCGGACAUGAUCAUGACAGGCAAUCUUGAAGCCCUCAUCCAUGAACUCGACAACUUGCACAAAGUCAGCUUCUUUGAACUGUCUUGAGGUCAGGGCUGGAGCACCUGGGACAGACAAGAACACAAAUCCUGCAGCUUGAAAUAAAAAGAACCAUAUGGUCUUUGGAAAAAAGAAGAAUCCCAGAGCUUCUUCACAUUUCAGUAAUGAAUCCACACAGACUCCAGAUGUGUUAAAUCUACACAGAUGCUGAUAGUCGAUGGGUAACGAAGGUGCAGCCCAAAUGAGAAGGUGAUAAGUGCAGAGCAUUGUACUGCAGUUAAAAUGUCUUGCCUUAAGAUAAUGCUAAAAAUGUGGCAGUGUAGCUCUUGAACUUCCUGGAAGAUGAUUAAAAAGCCAAACAUGAUUAAUUAAUCAUGAUUUGCUCAGUGCUUGUGGCUUAAUUGGUGGCUGACUAAUUUCCAUAUGCUGAACUACAUUUUGAAAAGCUAAGUAAGAGAGAUCAAGUGAAGAGGAUGUUAACUGCAAACUAAAUUUAAAAUAAAUAAAUAAAUAAAUCACCUUGUAUUUUUAUAGAACACAAAAUGCUGA